AGUGAACGCUGGCGGUAGGCCUAACACAUGCAAGUCGAACGGCAGCACAGUAAGAGCUUGCUCUUACGGGUGGCGAGUGGCAGACGGGUGAGGAAUACAUCUGAAUCUACUUUUUCGUGGGGGAUAACGUAGGGAAACUUACGCUAAUACCGCAUACGACCUACGGGUGAAAGCAGGGGAUCUUCGGACCUUGCGCGAUUGAAUGAGCCGAUGUCGGAUUAGCUAGUUGGCGGGGUAAAGGCCCACCAAGGCGACGAUCCGUAGCUGGUCUGAGAGGAUGAUCAGCCACACUGGAACUGAGACACGGUCCAGACUCCUACGGGAGGCAGCAGUGGGGAAUAUUGGACAAUGGGCGCAAGCCUGAUCCAGCCAUACCGCGUGGGUGAAGAAGGCCUUCGGGUUGUAAAGCCCUUUUGUUGGGAAAGAAAAGCAGCAGGUUAAUACCCCGCUGUUCUGACGGUACCCAAAGAAUAAGCACCGGCUAACUUCGUG
rnacentral:rRNA from 1 species